rnacentral:rRNA from 1 species
UACGUAGGGGCCGAGCGUUGUCCGGAGUUAUUGGGCGUAAAGGGCGCGCAGGCGGUCUGGCAAGUUUGGAGUGACAGUGCUCGGCUUAACUGAGCAAGGCCUUCGAAAACUGCUAGACUUGAGCACUCAAGAGGGACAUAGAAUUCCGGGUGGAGUGGUGAAAUGCGUAGAUAUCCGGAGGAAUACCAAAGGCGAAGGCAGUGUCCUGGGGAGUGUCUGACGCUCAGGCGCGAAAGCUAGGGGAGCGAACAGG